rnacentral:rRNA from 1 species
CUGCUCUCAACAGCUAGCCUGCCCCCAAAAACAACAAACCACAUCAAUAAGCCCAAAAGCACAACCGAAAAGAAACAAACCAUUUUACCUCCUGAGUAUGGGCGACAGAAAAGGACUUAUAGCGCAAUAGAAAAAGUACCGCAAGGGAAAGCUGAAAGAGUAGUGAAAAAAUUCAGUAAAGAGCAAAGAAGCAGAGCUAAGCCCUCGUACCUUUUGCAUCAUGACUUAGUUAGUACCCCCGAGCAAAGAGCCCUUUAGUUCGAAACCCCGAAACCAAGCGAGCUACUUCAAAGCAGCCUUAUAGGGCAAACCCGUCUCUGUGGCAAAAGAGUGGGAAGACUUUCAAGUAGAGGUGACAGACCUACCGAGCCUGGUUAUAGCUGGUUGCCUACAAAAUGGAUAUAAGUUCAGCCUUUUGCCUUCUUAUCUCAGACUUGGAACACCCUAUCCCGAUAAAAAGAAGCCAAAAGAGUUAUUCAAAGGGGGAACAGCCCCUAUGAAGAAAGACACAACUUUUUAAGAAGGCUAAAGAUCAAAAAGUACAGGACAACACCCAGGUGGGCUUAAAAGCAGCCAUCCUCUAAGAAAGCGUUAAAGCUCAAGUGUCCUUCAACCUCAUAUACCGAUAAUAUAAUCUUAAGCCCCUCAAUAAUAGUAGGCUUUUUCAUGCCGACAUGAAAGAAAUACUGCUAACAUGAGUAAUAAGAGGGCCCGCCCCUCUCCACAGCACCUGUAUAAACCAGAACGAACCCACGCUGGAAAUUAACGCCCCCAAACAAAGAGGGGGUUGAGAAGAUAACACUAAACCAGAAAACCUCUCAACUUAAAGCGUUCACCCCACACAGGAGCGCCCGUGGAAAGACUAAAAGGAAAAGAAGGAACUCGGCAAACACUGGCCUCGCCUGUUUACCAAAAACAUCGCCUCUUGCAAACCAACUAUAAGAGGUCCCGCCUGCCCUGUGACCACAAGUUUAACGGCCGCGGUAUUUUGACCGUGCAAAGGUAGCGUAAUCACUUGUCUUUUAAAUGGAGACCUGUAUGAAUGGCAUAACGAGGGCUAAGCUGUCUCCUUUUCCCAGUCAAUGAAAUUGAUCUUCCCGUGCAGAAGCGGGAAUAAUAACAUAAGACGAGAAGACCCUAUGGAGCUUUAGACACAAGGCAGCCAACGUUAAACACCCCUCAUUAAAGGGCACAACUGAAUACCGCCUGCCCCACUGUCUUUGGUUGGGGCGACCGCGGGGCAACAAAAAUCCCCCACGUGGAAUAGGUUUAAUCCUUAAAACCAGAGCUUCAGCUCUAACAAACAGAAUAUCUGACCAGCAGAUCCGGCACAGCCGAUCAACGGACCGAGUUACCCUAGGGAUAACAGCGCAAUCCCCUUUCAGAGCCCAUAUCGACAAGGGGGUUUACGACCUCGAUGUUGGAUCAGGACCCCCUAAUGGUGCAGCCGCUAUUAAGGGUUC